rnacentral:rRNA from 1 species
GACGGAGGGUGCUAGCGUUGUUCGGAAUUACUGGGCGUAAAGGGCGCGUAGGCGGCUACGGCAGUCGGGUGUGAAAGCCCGGGGCUCAACCCCGGAACUGCAUCCGAUACUCUGUGGCUAGAGACCGGAAGAGGUGGGUGGAAUACCCAGUGUAGAGGUGAAAUUCGUAGAUAUUGGGUGGAACACCGGUGGCGAAAGCGGCUCACUGGUCCGGUUCUGACGCUGAGGCGCGAAAGCGUGGGGAGCAAGCAGG